rnacentral:rRNA from 1 species
AGAGUUUGAUCCUGGCUCAGGACGAACGCUGGCGGCGUGCUUAACACAUGCAAGUCGAACGAUGAAGCCCAGCUUGCUGGGUGGAUUAGUGGCGAACGGGUGAGUAACACGUGAGUAACCUGCCCUUGACUCUGGGAUAAGCGCUGGAAACGGCGUCUAAUACCGGAUACGACCUGCCCCGGCAUCGGGUGCGGGUGGAAAGUUUUUCGGUCAAGGAUGGACUCGCGGCCUAUCAGCUUGUUGGUGAGGUAAUGGCUCACCAAGGCGACGACGGGUAGCCGGCCUGAGAGGGUGACCGGCCACACUGGGACUGAGACACGGCCCAGACUCCUACGGGAGGCAGCAGUGGGGAAUAUUGCACAAUGGGCGAAAGCCUGAUGCAGCAACGCCGCGUGGGGGAUGACGGCCUUCGGGUUGUAAACCUCUUUUAGUAGGGAAGAAGGACUUCGGUUUGACGGUACCUGCAGAAAUAGCACCGGCUAACUACGUGCCAGCAGCCGCGGUAAU